rnacentral:rRNA from 1 species
AUUGAACGCUGGCGGCAGGCCUAACACAUGCAAGUCGAGUGAGCGGCGGACGGGUGAGUAAUGUCUGGGAAACUGCCUGAUGGAGGGGGAUAACUACUGGAAACGGUAGCUACUACCGCAUACCAUCAGAUGUGCCCAGAUGGGAUUAGCUGGUGGGUGGGGUAACGGCUCACCUAGGCGACGAUCCCGAGCUGGUCUGAGAGGAUGACCGGCAACACUGGACAUGAGACACGGUCCAGAUUCCUACGGGAGGCAGCAGUGGGGAAUAUUGCAAAAGGGGCGCAAGCCUGAUGCAGCCAUGCCGCGUGUGUGAAGAAGGCCUUCGGGUUGUAAAGCACGUUCAGCGGGGAGGCGUUACCCGCAGAAGAAGCACCGGCUAACUCCGUGCCAGCAGCCGCGGUAAUAC